UAGUUAUUGUGAUAUUGGCCUGGUUCACUCAGACAUCAUCUGUAUCACACAGUUCUGUCCUUGCCCUACAAACAACAACAUUGUAACUUUGUGUGUGUUGUGUUCGGUUUGAUUGAGCCGUGCCAAUAUCUCAGUGCUUCUU
rfam:Phaseolus vulgaris cultivar G19833 chromosome 3, whole genome shotgun sequence.